UGGAUUGUAAACUCCUUUUCUCAGGGAAGAGAAUGGACGGUACCUGAGGAAUAAGUCACGGCUAACUACGUGCCAGCAGCCGCGGUAAUACGUAGGUGGCGAGCGUUAUCCGGAGUUACUGGGCGUAAAGCGCGCGCAGGCGGCGGUGUUGGCCCGGCGUGAAAGCCCCCGGCUCAACCGGGGAGGGUCGUCGGGGACCGCACCGCUUGAGGGCGGUAGGGGCUGGUGGAAUGCCUGGUGUAGUGGUGAAAUGCGUAGAGAUCAGGCGGAACACCCGUGGCGAAGGCGGCCAGCUGGGCCGUCCCUGACGCUGAGGCGCGAAGGCGUGGGGAGCGAACGGGAUUAGAUACCCCGGUAGUCCACGCAGUAAACGAUGCCGACUAGGCGUGGGGGGAGUUGACCCCCUCCGUGCCGGAGCCAACGCGGGAAGUCGGCCGCCUGGGGAGUACGGCCGCAAGGCUAAAACUCAAAGGAAUUGACGGGGACCCGCACAAGCGGUGGAGCAUGUGGUUUAAUUCGACGCAACGCGAAGAACCUUACCUGGGCUAGAAUGCCUCUGACCGGCGUAGAGAUACGCCUUCCUGGGUAAAACCAGGCAGAGUGCAAGGUGCUGCAUGGCUGUCGUCAGCUCGUGUCGUGAGAUGUUGGGUUAAGUCCCGCAACGAGCGCAACCCUUAUCAAUAGUUGCCAGCGGUUCGG
rnacentral:rRNA from 1 species